AAAGGAAAAAAUAGCAUUUUAUUUCAUAUAACUGUCCAGAGUCCCUGCCUCACUGGGUGUGAGGGGGGAGAGGAAUAAAAACCCUGAAUUUGUGGAUUGAUGGCAUUGCAGCCUCUUCUGGUUUGACCAGAGUCUUUUGGGUGACUCUGGGUCUUGUAGAUAGACCCUUAGUCAUUGAGGCAUCUUCCUGGGCUGCUCCCUGUAAGAAGCACCCGCAGGCACCCCUGAGCAGAUAUCUGUAGCCUGGUGCAGGGGAGCUGGGCUCAGGCCACACGGCAUCUUCUGGGUUCUCACAGGUCUCUGCUGCAGAGGGGCUGGCCUGGGCUGCUUCCUGGACAGGUGAUCUGUCUGCCUCCUCGUCCUGUCUGCCAGAACUUCCCCUACAUCCCAACUUCCUCCUGCCCCAUGAAAUCCAUGGAACUAGACAGGGGCACGUGGUUUCCUG
rnacentral:lncRNA from 1 species